GGUGGCCAAAACAUGAAGAUAUCGACAGUGGCUAGUGCAACAAAGCAAGCUAAUAAACAACAAGGCAAUAUGACAAAUGGAUUGGACGCCAACUCGAUAGAUGAAUGUUGCUCUUGCUACACUUCAAAGUAGCGACCCAGAAUAUGCAGGUGAAGGUGUUAAACUUGGAAAUCAGUUUUGGGCGGUGCGUGUUGAUGCUACAUUAGCAAAAUCGGAUGAGUCGAUAUGACCACUCAAAAAGGUCAAGAUUAUUAGUCAUGCAUGAACAUUAACUAUCUCAUGGCCUUCAACCUUUGUACGUUACCCUCUUGUCAAGUUUACCCAUAUAAAAUUUUACUAGUUUAUAAACCUGAUGUUUUUUUCUUAACUGAUCUAUUUCUUGUAGAUUUCCAAGAUAAAUUGAUGAUGCAUGGUGGAGAUGUUGAUUGCAAGAUGAUGAAUGAUACUACUACUGGAAAUCUUAAAUUAGUUUUAGAAUGUCAUUUUAAUCGUCAUUGUUGGGAACACAAUAUAUUUGUAAUGGUGCAAGUACCAAAUAACUUGUGUUCUUUGAAUCUUUUUCUUUGUA